CGGUGUUUAACUGGCGUGAUGUGGGACGUCCUACCGGUGGGCUUAGCUCGCGAGGGGCGGCCCAACUAAUAUCCCGUCGCGGUGCUCUUUACUGAGUGUCGAGUCGGGCGUACGUUUACUUUGACAAUAGAGUGCUAAAGCAGCUAUCCUCCGCUGAAUACUGCGUGCAUGGAAUAAAUGGAAUAAGACCUCGGUUCUAUUUUGUUGGUUUCGGAACCCGAGGUAAUGAUUAUAGGGACAGAUGGGGGCAUUCGUAUGCGACGUUAGAGGUGAAAUUCUUGGAUCGUCGCAAGACGGACAGAAGCGAAAGCAUUUGCCAAAAAUGUUUUCAUUAAUCAAGAACGAAAGUUAGAGGUUCGAAGGCGAUCAGAUACCGCCCUAGUUCUAACCAUAAACGAUGCCAGCUAGCGAUCCGCCGAAGUUCCUCCGAUGACUCGGCGGGCAGCUUCCGGGAAACCAAAGCUUUUGGGUUCCGGGGGAAGUAUGGUUGCAAAGCUGAAACUUAAAGGAAUUGACGGAAGGGCACCACCAGGAGUGGAGCCUGCGGCUUAAUUUGACUCAACACGGGAAACCUCACCAGGCCCAGACACCGGAAGGAUUGACAGAUUGAUAGCUCUUUCUUGAUUCGGUGGGUGGUGGUGCAUGGCCGUUCUUAGUUGGUGGAGCGAUUUGUCUGGUUAAUUCCGAUAACGAACGAGACUCUAGCCUGCUAAAUAGGCGUACCUUAUGGUAUCGCGAAGGCCCCCGGCUUCGGCCGGUGGGUUUUUACUACCAACGUACAAACAAAUCUUCUUAGAGGGACAGGCGGCUUCUAGCCGCACGAGAUUGAGCAAUAACAGGUCUGUGAUGCCCUUAGAUGUUCUGGGCCGCACGCGCGCUACACUGAAGGAAUCAGCGUGUGU
rnacentral:rRNA from 1 species